rfam:Bacterium AM6 strain AM6 2017-02-03-Sterotrophomonas_trimmed_contig_211, whole genome shotgun sequence.
GGCUAUGGCGGGCGGGGCGUGGGGGCCUUCGGGCCAGCCGGAGCGUUCGACACCGGUUUUCGAGCCACGUCUCCGUCCGCCACCUUU